UCGAGGUUAGAGCGAGGAUGCGCGGUAAUACGGACGGUUGAAACGGUAUGCAGAAUCCCUGGGCGGAAAGGGGGCGGAGGCGGGCGGGUAAGCAGGGUGUGAAAGCCCCCGGGCCAACCGGGGAAUUGCGCCCUGAACUGGCAGGCGGGAGUGAGAUAGGGGUGUGCGGAACUUCCGGUGGAGCGGUGAAAUGUGUUGAGAUCGGAAGGAACGCCAGAGGCGAAAGCGGCACACUGGGUCUCAACUGACGCUGAGGCACGAAAGCCAGGGGAGCAAACGGGAUUAGAUACCCCGGUAGUC
rnacentral:rRNA from 1 species